rnacentral:snRNA from 1 species
GUGCUCACUUCAGCAGCACAUAUACUAAAAUUGGAAUGCUAGAGAAGAUUAGCAUGGCCCUUAAGCAAGGAUGACAUGCAAAUUCAUGAAGUGUUGCAUAUUUUA